GGCUUAGAGUUUGAUCAUGGCUCAGGACGAACGCUGGCGGCGCGCCUAACACAUGCAAGUCGAACGGAAUUAUAUUGGCUGAAGUUUUCGGAUGGACGCUGAUGUAGUUUAGUGGCGAACGGGUGAGUAACGCGUGAGUAACCUGCCCUGGAGCGGGGGACAACAGUUGGAAACGACUGCUAAUACCGCAUAAGCCCACAGUGCCGCAUGGCACAGCGGGAAAAGGAUUUAUUCGCUUCAGGAUGGACUCGCGUCCAAUUAGCUAGUUGGUGAGGUAACGGCCCACCAAGGCGACGAUUGGUAGCCGGACUGAGAGGUUGAACGGCCACAUUGGGACUGAGACACGGCCCAGACUCCUACGGGAGGCAGCAGUGGGGGAUAUUGCACAAUGGGGGAAACCCUGAUGCAGCGACGCCGCGUGGAGGAAGAAGGUUUUCGGAUUGUAAACUCCUGUCGUUAGGGACGAAUCAUGACGGUACCUAACAAGAAAGCACCGGCUAACUACGUGCCAGCAGCCGCGGUAAAACGUAGGGUGCAAGCGUUGUCCGGAAUUACUGGGUGUAAAGGGAGCGCAGGCGGACCGGCAAGUUGGAAGUGAAAUCUAUGGGCUCAACCCAUAAAUUGCUUUCAAAACUGCUGGGCCUUGAGUAGUGCAGAGGUAGGUGGAAUUCCCGGUGUAGCGGUGGAAUGCGUAGAUAUCGGGAGGAACACCAGUGGCGAAGCGACCUACUGGGCACCAACUGACGCUGAGGCUCGAAAGCAUGGGUAGCAAACAGGAUUAGAUACCCUGGUAGUCCAUGCCGUAAACGAUGAUUACUAGUGUUGGAGAUUGACCCUUCAGUGCGCAGUNNANNUAGUAUUCCACUGGG
rnacentral:rRNA from 1 species